GAAGUUUUCCCACAGCCUGCUAUCGAUUCUCAACCACAGGGGAUGUCCUUAACAGACAGCAGGACACUGCUCUUGAAUGGUCGGAGGAGCUCUUCACACAUGACCUUGUGAUGAUAAAAGUGCAGGACAUCGCCUCUCCCACCCCAUUGACUACAGAGUGGUCCCCAGAAGAUCAGGAGACACAGAUUACUACCCUGUUUACAGCCACAUCACAGCACAGAGGAGAAAUUGCUGAAGAAGAUACGCCUGCAUUUCUUUCUAGAACCCCAAAGGGCCCUGAGAUGACAGGGCCCACUUCUGACUGGGGGGUGGGGAUCCGUGGUCGCCUUCCACGGUCUGUCCAGUGCCAGGCAAAGAAGACAAGAUGGAACUUGAUAGACUCUUGGUGUGACUUAGUGUAAGGCAGCUUCACAUGUUCGUGUACGUAUGUAUGUCGUCAUGGUAUGUACAUUGCAUGACUAUCACAGGAGAACCCUGAUUCCACAUUCUGGUCUCCCUGGUCAAGCUCUGGCUUAAAGAAAGAGCGCUGGGGUAGAUUCAUACCCUGGGCUCUUUGCAGGAAUUUCAGAUUCAAUUACUCUCCCAUCCUUCCUUCUCUUCUUAUAUAUAUAGAGUACUAGAGGCUUACCUUGAGA